rnacentral:ribozyme from 1 species
CCCCAAUGAUGUAGGCCACCUCUUCGCGGUGCUGUAGACCAGUACUCCUUCACGAAGGAAGCUAAGCGCUGA